rnacentral:misc_RNA from 1 species
GCUGCUGGCCGACCUGGCCGGCGACUGCCUGCGCCUGCACACCUACUGGUGAAUGAAGAAUCGGAGAAGAGACGUAAGCCGCCUGGAGACGAAUCGUAAACGAAUUUCAUGCUAGUCCAAUAUUGUAACUGAGAAUCGAACUUGGCCAUAAUCUCAGAUUGCGAGGGAGGUACUCGUACCAAAGUCAUUAGAGCCGCACGCCGGCGCUAUUACGAUAGUCGUAGUACUUACAGUAUUUAUUUCAUUUAAGUGUCCUUGGUUACAUUAUUUUUAGUAUUUUUUUUUUUGUGAUUUCGGUAUUCGAUAUCAUGAUUGUCUGCGACUGAUUUAUACUGCGACGCACUUGUUUACUUGGCGCUAUUCGGCAAAUGCAUUAGUAACGUAAUUUAUGUGGACAUUAUUUUUUGUUCAUGUUUAUAUUUGCGUAUAAUCUUAUUUUUAUGACCGAGAAUUGACCUUUAUUUAAUAAACAAAUUCUUAGAGUAAAAUAAGAAGACCGCGCAAUAAAUGUCGUACUAAGUAUAUAUAAAUAUGGAUUACAGAUGGGCCUUAAUCGGUUUAGAAAUCCGUUACAUCGAGAUAUACCGCACCACAUUAAGACAAGCAAUAAAUGUUAAGGAAUCAUUAUCUGCCAUAUAUCGCUGUAAAGUAACUUAUGACAAUAUUAAGUAAAACGAGAAUACGUAGCCGUUACACGUUAAAAUUUGUGCCUCGUCAAGGUCGUAUCGUGAUUUGAGGGUAGAUUAAAGAUGUUUGGGACAAUAUUAUUAAGUUAAUCGAAUUCUGAGGUAUGUUAUUGUUUGUUUUACAAUACGUUUUAAGCAUAAUGAUACAAAUAUGUUAACCGCAACUGGCAAUAUUCACCAAAUAGGGCAAAAUAAACUAAAACAAAAUGAAAUCACUAUUAAAAUAUUUAAACUAAGUUUUUGUUCUUAACUUGAAGGAAAAUCAUUUUUACUUGCACUAAUAUAUAUAAUAUAUAUUUAAUAUAUAUAUACCUAAAUGAUAUUAUUAUCGGGCAACUAGUUGCUACUUGUAUGCUGGAUAUUUCAAAAUAUACGCUUUAAUUUAAAUCGCUUAUUCUAAUAUAACGUAAUUCAGAAUUAAUAUGUUACUAAAUUUUAUUACGUAGACAUAAUCAUCUGUACAAAAAUCUUAAUUAUUUGAACAAGUACUAGUCAAAAUUAGACAAUAGUAUUCAUAAUACUUAG